GAUGAACGCUGGCGGCGUGCCUAAUACAUGCAAGUCGAGCGAACGGACGAGAAGCUUGCUUCUCUGAUGUUAGCGGCGGACGGGUGAGUAACACGUGGAUAACCUACCUAUAAGACUGGGAUAACUUCGGGAAACCGGAGCUAAUACCGGAUAAUAUUUUGAACCGCAUGGUUCAAAAGUGAAAGACGGUCUUGCUGUCACUUAUAGAUGGAUCCGCGCUGCAUUAGCUAGUUGGUAAGGUAACGGCUUACCAAGGCAACGAUGCAUAGCCGACCUGAGAGGGUGGUAGGCCACACUGGAACUUAGACGCGGUCCAGACUCCUACGGGAGGCAGCAGUAGGGAAUCUUCCGCAAUGGGCGAAAGCCUGACGGAGCAACGCCGCGUGAGUGAUGAAGGUCUUCGGAUCGUAAAACUCUGUUAUUAGGGAAGAACAUAUGCGUAAGUAACUGUGCACAUCUUGACGGUACCUAAUCAGAAAGCCCCGGCUAACUACGUG
rnacentral:rRNA from 1 species